rfam:Blastomonas sp. AAP25 AAP25_Contigs_5, whole genome shotgun sequence.
CCGGGACAGGUGCAACCUCCCGGUCAGGCGGUCCGCGCCCAAGCGUUGC